rnacentral:misc_RNA from 1 species
ACGAGUUCAAAAGUCGGUCGACCGUGCUGGCGGAGACGCAUGUGCACGUCGAUCGCGAACCAUCCACACACCGUGAACCUAUGGCCCGGGGUCGAGUUCAGACUCUGGGCACCAUUUUUACACUCUGUUCGUAAAGGAAUGUCUUUAUAUCAUAAAACAAA